CGUCGGUGAAGAAGGACGAGGGCAAUGGGAAGCUGGUGUUCUUCGACAGAGCCUCUUUCCAGAAGGUUGCUGGCACCCGCCCACCCGACUAGAAUCACCACUCUUGACGGGUCUGACCUAGAUCAUGCAUAGAGGAAACUGCACUAUCAGUGUGGUGUGGUGUGUCUGGCAUCCCAAGCUGAAUCAGAUUAUGGUGGGGACUGGAAAUGGACCGGCUAAAGGUCUACUAAGACCCUGUCAGGAGUCUCAGGGGAGCUGAGCUGUGUGUGGUGAAGAGCAAGAGGAAAGAGAUGCAAGCAGAGACACUGACGCAAGACUACAUCACACCCAGCCAGCCCAUCCUCUUCCCAUGUUCCGUGAGGCCCGGCAGCACAGCACUAAGAAACAGCUGGAGAAAGACAGAGUGGACCUUAUGAAGUCCCACAAGCUUGAGCCCCCCGUCACUGGACCAGGUCAGGUGGUCAUGUGGCAGCCCAUGGAGGUACUCUGUCCUCCUUCAUUGUGAAGAACAUUGCUCUGGACAAAACCGAUGACAGAAACCCUCGCCAGGCCAUCCUCCGACACGCCAAGAAGGCCUCCAAAAACCCCUACUGGGUCGCUCCUGCCUACACCAAGACCCAACCAGAUGCGAUCUUUCAGAGUCUGAUGUAGAGGCUGACGAUGAACCAGAUUGGAAGAAACGCAAGAUUUGAGCCGCAGCAACUCCUUUGUGUGUGUGUGCGUGUGUGCAUGCAAGUGUGUUUUUGUGCGAUUGUGUGCUAGUGUGCAUGGGAGUGUUUGUAUAUGAAUAUGUGUAUGUUUUUGUACUUUGCUGUACUUGAAUCAAAUGUAGUGUUUGUGAUCUCCUGAGAUACAGUAAUUAAAGGGAUAGUUUAUCCAAAUUCCA